rnacentral:rRNA from 1 species
AGUGAACGCUGGCGGUAGGCCUAACACAUGCAAGUCGAACGGCAGCACAGUAAGAGCUUGCUCUUACGGGUGGCGAGUGGCGGACGGGUGAGGAAUACAUCGGAAUCUACUUUUUCGUGGGGGAUAACGUAGGGAAACUUACGCUAAUACCGCAUACGACCUACGGGUGAAAGCAGGGGAUCUUCGGACCUUGCGCGAUUGAAUGAGCCGAUGUCGGAUUAGCUAGUUGGCGGGGUAAAGGCCCACCAAGGCGACGAUCCGUAGCUGGUCUGAGAGGAUGAUCAGCCACACUGGGACUGAGACACGGUCCAGACUCCUACGGGAGGCAGGAGUGGGGAAUAUUGGACAAUGGGCGCAAGCCUGAUCCAGCCAUACCGCGUGGGUGAAGAAGGCAUUCGGGUUGUAAAGCCCUUUUGUUGGGAAAGAAAAGCAGCAGGUUAAUACCCCGCUGUUCUGACGGUACCCAAAGAAUAAGCACCGGCUAACUUCGUG